rnacentral:rRNA from 1 species
UCGAGAAUCUUCGGCAAUGGGCGCAAGCCUGACCGAGCGACGCCGCGUGCGGGAUGAAGGCCUUCGGGUUGUAAACCGCUGUCGUAGGGGAGGAAGCGACCGUGAAGAACGGAAGUUGACCGAUCCUAGGAGGAAGGGCCGGCUAAUCUCGUGCCAGCAGCCGCGGUAAUACGAGAGGCCCAAACGUUAUUCGGAUUUACUGGGCUUAAAGAGUUCGUAGGCGGCGCAGAAAGUGGGGUGUGAAAGCCCUCGGCUCAACCGAGGAAUUGCGCUCCAAACUACUGUGCUAGAGGAAGCUAGAGGUGAGCAGAACUGAUGGUGGAGCGGUGAAAUGCGUUGAUAUCAUCAGGAAUACCGGAGGCGAAGGCGGCUCACUGGGGCUUUUCUGACGCUGAGGAACGAAAGCCAGGGUAGCGAACGGGAUUAGAUACCCCCGUAGUCC